UGAAUCCUGCGUGCUGUNCAAAAAGAUGGC
rnacentral:piRNA from 1 species